UACGUAGGGGGCAAGCGUUGUCCGGAAUCAUUGGGCGUAAAGAGCGUGUAGGCGGUUCGGUAAGUCUGCUGUGAAAGUCCAAGGCUCAACCUUGGGAUGCCGGUGGAUACUGUCGAACUUGAGUCCGGAAGAGGAGUGUGGAAUUCCUGGUGUAGCGGUGAAAUGCGCAGAUAUCAGGAGGAACACCGAUGGCGAAGGCAGCACUCUGGGACGUGACUGACGCUGAGACGCGAAAGCGUGGGGAGCAAACAGG
rnacentral:rRNA from 1 species